rnacentral:rRNA from 1 species
UACGGAGGGUGCAAGCGUUGCUCGGAAUCAUUGGGCGUAAAGCGCACGUAGGCGGUCCGUUAAGUCGGGAGUGAAAGCCCCAGGCUCAACUUGGGAAGUGCUUUCGAAACUGGCGGACUUGAAUACUGGAGAGGAUCGCGGAAUUCCCGGUGUAGAGGUGGAAUGCGCAGAUAUCAGGAGGAACACCGAUGGCGAAGGCAGAUCUCUGGGCCGUAACUGACGCUGAGGAGCGAAAGCGUGGGGAGCGAACAGG